AUUGAACGCUGGCGGCAGGCCUAACACAUGCAAGUCGAGCGGAGCGGGGGAGGGGGGAGUAUUGCCUAGGAAUCUGCCGGGUAGUGGGGGAUAACGUCCGGAAACGGGCGCUAAUACCGCAUACUCUUAGCUGCGCCUGGGUCGGGUUAGGCAGUUGGUGGGGUAAAGGUAUACCAAGGCGACGAUCCGUAACUGGUCUGAGAGGAUGAUCAGUCACACUGGAACUGAGACACGGUCCAGACUCCUACGGGAGGCAGCAGUGGGGAAUAUUGGACAAUGGGCGAAAGCCUGAUCCAGCCAUGCCGCGUGUGUGAAGAAGGUCUUCGGAUUGUAAAGCACUUUAAGUUGGGAGGCGUUACCAACAGAAUAAGCACCGGCUAACUUCGUGCCAGCAGCCGCGGUAAUAC
rnacentral:rRNA from 1 species